AUUGAACGCUGGCGGCAGGCUUAACACAUGCAAGUCGAGCGAGCGGCGGACGGGUGAGUAAUGUCUGGGAAACUGACUGAUGGAGGGGGAUAACUACCGGAAACGGUAGCUAAUACCGCAUACCAUCAGAUGUGCCCAGAUGGGAUGAGCUAGUGGGGGGGGUAAUGGCUCACCAAGGCCACGAUCCCUAGCUGGGCUUAGAGGAUGACCAGCAACACUGGAACUGAGACACGUUCCAGACUCCUGCGGGAGGCAGCAGUGGGGAAUAUUGCACCAUGGGCGCAAGCCUGAUGCAGCCAUGCCUCGUGUGUGAAGAGGGACUUCGGGUUGUAAAGCACUUUCAGCGAGGAGGCGUUACUCGCAGAAGAAGCACCGGCUAACUCCGUGCCAGCAGCCGCGGUAAUAC
rnacentral:rRNA from 1 species